rnacentral:rRNA from 1 species
UCUACGGGUGGCAGCAGUGGGGAAUAUUGGGCAAUGGGCGCAAGCCUGACCCAGCAACGCCGCGUGAAGGAAGAAGGCUUUCGGGUUGUAAACUUCUUUUCUCAGGGACGAAGAAAGUGACGGUACCUGAGGAAUAAGCCACGGCUAACUACGUGCCAGCAGCCGCGGUAAUACGUAGGUGGCAAGCGUUAUCCGUAUUUAUGGGGAGGAAAGAGCGCGUAGGCGGGAUAGCAAGGCAGAUGUGAAAUCCUAUGGCUUAACCGCGGAACGGCUUUGGAAACUGGGGAACUGGAGUGCUGGAGAGGCAAGCGGAAUUCCUAGUGUAGCGGUGAAAUGCGUAGAUAUUAGGAGGAACACCAGUGGCGAAGGCGGCUUGCUGGACAGUAACUGACGUUGAGGCUCGAAAGCGUGGGUAGCAAACAGGAUUAGAUACCCGAGUAGUC